CUUGAACACUGUAUUUGAGUUAGCAGUUAUAUGUUUUUUUUGCUGUGUGUUUAAAGUGUUUUCAUUUUGAGUGUUUUCUAAUUUCUUAUCCAACAAGCAUGGCCCUUGACUUGUGCCAAGCUCAUAAUGACAGUCCUGUGGGAGUUGAACGCUUCAGCGUUGUGUAAUCAUAACAGCUCAUGUAAAUUAGUAUAGUUUUUAAAGCACAGAUUGAAGUCAGAUUGAAUUUGAUUCACAUCUCAUUUUAUGAUUCUUCUUAGAAUGCUAACUAAGCAUUCACAUUAGGUACUUAACCUCUCUAAGCUUCACCUUCUCAUUCAUAAAAUGGGAAUUAAUAAUAAUGCCUAUUCAAAGAGAUAUUGUAAGGAUUAAAAGAGAUUAUAUAUACAAACUUGUCUCUGUGGUGGCUAGUACAUAAGCACUCGAUAAAUAACUGUUACUAUUACAUGAUAGUCAUUAUUCUAAAUAUAUUUUUAUUUAUUACCUACAGUCAGCAUCUUUUGUACAAAAUACAGUUUAUUGCUGUGAUCUGCAGUGAAGGCUAAUGUAUUCAUUGUCAACCUGUAUUAUAUCUGUUCCAUCUAAGAUCCACAUGGAGCUAGAUUUUUGAGUAACCAGGGAAAGAACUGGAAUGGAUCUUAUCAAAAAGCAGGAAAAAUAAGAUAAAUGAUUCAAGAGUGGUUUCAGACACUGCUGUGAGCACACAGCUAAGAGAGAAGACGAGGCCCGGAGAUGAUGCUGAGGGAGGGGAGGUGUCAGGGGUCUGAGUUCUAAAGAAUAUCCAAAAUUGGGGCACAUGGACACCUGGGGUUUGGGAGGGCACUGUAGGAGAGCAAAGCAGUGUGAGCAAAUGCAUGGAGGCACAGAGUCACGUGGCACGAGGCUUUCCAUUUGUUAGGUGCACAGCUUUUGUGAAAAGCGUUAAAACUAGGGAGAGCCUUGGAUACUGGGCUCUGUUUAGUAAACACUGGAAAAGCCACAGUUUAGGUAGAGAAGUGGCAGGAGCAGGCUGCGCUUUAGAAGGGUUGAGCUAAUAUGCAGGGAGCUAGUAGGAGGCUCUAGGAAUAGACACCUGAGAGGUAUGGAGCCUAGGAAUGAACACAGUGAAAAAGAUACCGAACUGACAAAUCUCACAAGACUGGCAACACAUAGGUGAGACUGAGGAAGUCAGAGGAAGUGCUGAAGAUGAUGUCGUGUGGCCGGGAGGAGAGCGCCACUCAUAAAGGGGGGACCACAGAAGAUGUGGGUUUGUCACGCAAAUGAGGCGUUCCCUCUGGGAUACACACCUUGAGUUGAGGUCUAGGAAAACAUCCAGAGAAGGGACCAGGCACGGGGCUGGACAUUCAUGGUGGAAUGUGGCAGGAAGUUAAGGACUGGGAGUAUAAACAGGCAGCUUUGCAUAUACAGGUGAUGGUGAACACACACAGUGAUCACAAACUAUACAACAGAUGACAUCACAUGCCAAGCAAGGUAGGAGCGCUCCUUACUGUUGCUGCAAGUGCUUCAAGACCCUCUAAAAUGAGAGGCGUCUCCUUUCUCUGCUGGAACAGUGCUUCUCAAUGUCUGUGCCAUUAGCUACCUGCUAGCAGUUACCAGGUGCCUACUUAUUCCCUGUCCAUGAAGCGGUAAGUACAGAAAGGGAGAAUAAGCAUUUAGAAAUUUUAUAGCAAUUGGCAGAGGAGCUUUAUGUCUAUUGACUCUAAUAAUUAAACAUUUGGAUUCACAUUUGUAUAUUGUUUUCACCAUUUUAUUUUUCUAUUUUUAUUAUAUUUUAAAAGUAUUUACAUACAAUAAAUUGGAAAAAUGAUCCGACACUACAGAUAGUUUGAAGACCACUGAGGUAGACUUUAUUAAGAUACCUUUAAACCACACUGAGCAAAACAUUUCAGGACACCAAGAAAAUCAGCCAAAUGUAACAUUAUCUCUUACUGUCCUUAAAAUACUGGGCUAAGCAAUAUUCUAAUAGUAUCCUCUGAUUGCAGAUGAGAUUCUUUAAAUUGUUCAGAUGAUCUGGAGUUGAGGAUGUGCCUGGUUCACAGUGUCUUUGAGCACUGCGGUCAUCAGAUGCAGCCUCCAGCCAAGCACCCACUGUCUGGGAGGAGGGAGUUUCCCACUCUUAUUCCUGCUUUAAUCCUAGCUUGUCAGUUUUUGUUUUGUUGUAACAUAAAAACCAUGGGGAGUAGAGUCUAUUGCUUUCUCUCAAAAUAAACCUUUGGAUCAUUCACUGUGAGGAGGGACAAAGGAAAGUGAAAAUGCUAGGGAAAAAAAUACCAGUUAACAUUUACAAAUACCAUGCCACAUAUCCUGCACAUACAGAGGACCUCUUCCCUCAUGGGUGCGGUGCGGAUACUUGUUUCAUUUUACACCGUCAAACCACCUACCUUUUUGGAUAUGCAGAAUUUUAUAAUUCAUAGGCAAAAAUUUCAAAAAUUAUCUUCACAUUUAAUGGUCUCACGAGUAGUGUUACACUGACACAUAUUUAACAGGACAUGAUUUACUAGACAGCAUGUACUACGUAGUACUCAUCAAGCAAAUGAAUAAAUACUAUUCAUUAUGUAUUGGAAAAAAAGUUGUCCCUUUUUGAGAGGUAGAAAUAAUGAAGAUGCCAUCUUUUGUAAAGCACAGAAAUCAAAUAAACGCUUUGUCAUGAUUCACCAUUAUGGAACUUUGCAGUGAUUACAUAUCAUUUAGAAGCUGGUGGUCUUUGGCAGUGACUAGAAAAACAGCCACGCUAAGAUUUUCCCUGCUGUUGUUUAAUAAAGAGGUUAUUAAGGCAAAGUUGAAUUAAACGUUCUUCUCAGAUGCAUGUAUACCUAUAUAAUCUUCUUAGAAUCAUUGCCUUCUUUAUAACCAUAACUUGAAAUUAUUUUUAAAUAUUGUGGAACUUCUAUAUAAUGUCAGUCAUGAGGAUGAGGACACAACUCACCUUGGAAGCUCCUGUUCAUAUCAGACUUAUGUUAAUAAUUCGAUUUCAGAGAAUGUCACUAGUUGUAUAGAAAGGCAAAGUGGGGAUGUAUUGUAAAAUGCAACAUUUAAUUCAAUUCCCUAAUAUCAGUGUGAAGACUUGGAAACCAUCCCUGUAUGUGCAGGACUCUUCAUAAUCCAGUUGACCUAAGAGUCUCUAUCAAAUAAAAUGAAGCCCUCCCCUCAAAUAGAAGUUUUGUUGCUAAAUUAAUGCAAUAAUUGAAUCCUAGGGAACUACAGUUUCAACAUAUGAAGUGCACUUUAAAGAAGCAGGUGAUAUAUUCCCAAGGAAAGGUCUGCCUCAGACCUCUGUUUUACUUAUUGGUUUUAACAUUUUUAUAAGCAUGUUUCACAGAUUGAUGUGAUCAUUGAUCAACUACUUACUAUUCCAUAAAGCCAGUGUUCUUAGCAUUUGAAGUAACAGCUGGUAUUUCAGGGUCUACUAGGCACCAAAUAUAGCAUGCAUGUUUUAUGGACAUUAUCACAAAUCCCCAAAACAUACCUACAAGGCAGGAAUUUGAUUUUCAUUUUACAGAUGAAGAAAUUGAGGCUCAGAAUAAGAAAUUGUCUGAUUCCACCUAGCUGCUAUGUGGAAAGUGUGAUUGAAUUCCUGGAAAUCAAUCUAUAUCCUCCACACAUAGGUAUAACCAGAUAUUUUUAAUGAAUUAAGAUAGUAAUGAGGAUUAAAAUCUACUUCCAAAGUAAUUCAUGGAAUUUCCACUAGAACAAAAUGACUCCAAAGAAUUAUACUCUUUCCAA